CCUACGCGAGGCUGCAGUGAGGAAUAUUGGUCAAUGGGCGCGAGCCUGAACCAGCCAAGUAGCGUGAAGGAUGACUGCCCUACGGGUUAUAAACUUCUUUUAUAAAGGAAUACAGUGAGGCACGUGUGCCUUUUUGUAUGUACUUUAUGACUAAGGCUCGGCUAACUCCGUGCCAGCAGCCGCGGUAAUACGUAGGUGGCAAGCGUUAUCCGGAUUUAUUGGGUUUAAAGGGAGCGUAGAUGGGUUGUUAAGUCAGUUGUGAAAGUUUGCGGCUCAACCGUAAAAUUGCAAUUGAUACUGGCAGUCUUGAGUACAGUUGAGGUAGGCGGAAUUCGUAGUGUAGCGGUGAAAUGCUUAGAUAUCACGAAGAACUCCAAUGGCGAAGGCAGCUUACUAAACUGCCACUGACAGUGAUGCUCGAAAGUGUGGGUAUCAAACAGGAUUAGAUACCCUUGUAGUC
rnacentral:rRNA from 1 species